rnacentral:rRNA from 1 species
GAUGAACGCUGGCGGCGUGCCUAAUACAUGCAAGUAGAACGCUGAAGCUUGGUGCUUGCACCGAGCGGAUGAGUUGCGAACGGGUGAGUAACGCGUAGGUAACCUGCCUGGUAGCGGGGGAUAACUAUUGGAAACGAUAGCUAAUACCGCAUAACAGUCGACAUUGCAUGAUGUUGAUUUGAAAGGGGCAAUUGCUCCACUACCAGAUGGACCUGCGUUGUAUUAGCUAGUUGGUGAGGUAACGGCUCACCAAGGCGACGAUACAUAGCCGACCUGAGAGGGUGAUCGGCCACACUGGGACUGAGACACGGCCCAGACUCCUACGGGAGGCAGCAGUAGGGAAUCUUCGGCAAUGGACGGAAGUCUGACCGAGCAACGCCGCGUGAGUGAAGAAGGUUUUCGGAUCGUAAAGCUCUGUUGUAAGAGAAGAACGAGUGUGAGAGUGGAAAGUUCACACUGUGACGGUAACUU